AAGAAAUAUUGCCGACUUUAAACAAUAAUAACAAAUAAACUGCAGGAUUAGACAUGGAGAACUUUUAUUUUCACGGCCAACAGCAAUAGAUCUUUUUAUUAGAAUAAAAAGAAUUUAGUGGCCCAUAUAUGGGAACGGGAUUAAACGUAAAACGUCUUCACCUUACGGCCUACUGUGGAGCCGAGCGGGUUUCUUGACGCACGCAUGCAUCAAGACCACCCACCACCACCCCCGUGAACUUUGUAUCACCGCAUUCUCUCGCUUUCCCACUGUUUAAAAGUUGGGAGUGUCGCCUUAUAAGCCGGAUAAAACUUCAGAUUUCUAAGAGGCACGUGGUGACCAAUAAGGUCUGAAGUUGUCUGUGGUAAGGUAGGGCACUGAUAAGGGGUUGACAGGUGCGUGACGUCAUUUAUGGACGGCCCCUAACUUCUCCGAUUUGCGCGUUCGUCUUGUGCCGCCGUGCGUGGUUCUGCACUCAAUGAGUGGCUCGGCAACAUUUAAAAAAGAAGUUGAGCCGUGGGUUUUUUCAACGCGCGUGUUUUUUUUUUGUCUUUGAUCGAAAUACUUGGAAAGAAACGUGCACGCGAACACGGCAGGUAUACAGCAGAUGACAACGCACAUUCUGACUGAAACCAAAUAGUUACUCUCUAAAAAUACAGUUUGCCUGGACAUUUUGUCGUCACCAAGACAUUCAAUAGUGAUCCAAUUGCCCGCCAUAUUUAAUACAUCAUCUUCGCGUUCAAUCGUAUUUCAAAUUCAAGUUGUUUGGUUUGUUUCUUUAUUAAACGGAUGCCCACCGAGGGAGCAGCCAGAAAGAUCGGCAUGCGGCUCCGGUAGGGCAGGGCAGGUUUGCCGAGCCCUGUGCAAGCUCGUUCGACGUUUCGCGUCGCCUUCGUUGGACGCACCCCAACGAUGCCUUGCGACAAAACACAUUGGAGAUGACGACGACGAUGCUGAUGAUAAUGAUGUCGAUGAUGACGACGAUGCUGAUGAUGAUGUCGAUGAUGACGACGACGAUGCUGAUGAUGAUGUCGAUGAUGACGACGGUGAUACUGAUGAUGAUGUCGAUGAUGACGACGAUGAUGCUGAUGAUGAUGUCGAUGAUGACUACGACGAUGCUGAUGAUGAUGUCGAUGAUGACGAUGACGAUGCUGAUAAUGACGUCGAUGAUGACGACGGUGAUG